rnacentral:tRNA from 1 species
GUUUAUGUGGUGUAUUUAGCACGUUAGGUUUUCAUCCUAUAAGAAGGUAAGUGUUUGCCUUGUAAAUU